rnacentral:rRNA from 1 species
AUGCUAUCCAAGCCACCCUCUGAUCCGGCCGGCAAGCUCUCGAUCGAAACGAUGGAGGACGAACAAUCAGCCACAUAUACUGUGGAUGACGCCCUUAUAUCUUCAGGUUUUGGGAAGUACCAAAUAUUGAUUCUCUCCUAUGCUGGGAUAGGCUUAAUCGCAGAAGCAAUGGAGAUGAUGCUGCUAUCAUUUGUUGGCCCAUCCGUUCAGUUAGAAUGGAAUCUUACUGCUCACCAGGAAAGCAUGAUUACAAGUGUUGUUUUUGUUGGAAUGCUAAUAGGAGCUUAUUCUUGGGGUGUGGUCUCAGAUAACUAUGGAAGGAGGAAAGGGUUUCUCUUUACUGCCAUUAUGACGAGUGGAGCUGGAUUCCUGAGUGCCUUUUCUCCAAACUAUGUAGCUUUAAUGGCUCUACGGUUUUUAGUUGGUAUUGGCUUGGGAGGAGGACCUGUUCUUGGAUCUUGGUUCUUGGAAUUUGUUCCUGCUCCAAGUAGAGGAACUUGGAUGGUGGUACUCUCAGCAUUUUGGACUGUCGGUACCAUCUUUGAGGCUUCGCUUGCAUGGGUAGUUAUGCCCAAGUUUGGCUGGAGGUGGUUGCUAGCAUUAUCAUCUGUUCCGUCUCUCCUCCUGCUUUUGUUUUAUGCUAUCACACCAGAGUCGCCAAGGUUCCUCUGCAUGAAAGGCAGAACAAUGGAGGCUGUGGAUGUGCUGGAGAAAAUGGCAAGGUUAAACGGUGCACAACUCCCUUCGGGUAAGCUUGUUUCCGACAAGAACAUUGAGCUAGAUGAAGUUUCCGAGUCGGCAACGCUUCUGGCUGCUACUGCUAAAGCUGCUAAAGAAGAAGAAAACGACAACAUCAAGGAAGACGAAGGUUCUGAUUUUGGAGGUUUCAAGUCUGUUUCUAAGCUGCUGUCACCAAAAUUGCUCAGAGCAACUCUGCUUCUGUGGAUGGCUUUCUUCGGGAAUGCAUUUUCUUAUUAUGGUAUUGUUCUGUUGACAUCGGAGUUAAGUAACGGAAAUAGGAUAUGUGCAAAACAGGAGGUUGAAUCUGUACACUCGAACAACUCAAGCCUGUACAAAAACGUGUUUAUUUCUAGCUUUGCAGAGAUUCCAGGGUCAUUCGUGUCGAUCAUGAUCGUGGAUAGAAUUGGGCGAAGGCUUUCAAUGGCUUCGAUGCUCUUCACUAGCUGUGUCUUUUUAUUCCCGCUAGUUUUUUCCCGCACAGAAAUACUGACAAGAAUCUCAUUAUUCGGUGCCCGGCUCUGCAUUUCUGCAAGCUUCACAAUCGUAUACAUAUAUGCUCCCGAGAUCUACCCAACCUCUGUGAGGACAACAGGCAUUGGCGUCGCCAGCUCGGUGGGCAGGAUCGGCGGCAUUCUGUGCCCCCUCGUCGCCGUUGCUCUGGUGCACAACUGCCAUCAGACGACCGCGAUCCUCCUCUUCGAGCUCGUGGUGUUCCUCUCAGGGGUGGCCGUCAUGUUCUUCCCUUUCGAGACGAAAGGCUGUAGGCUCAACGACACCGAGGCCGAUAUGCAUUGA